rnacentral:lncRNA from 1 species
UGCCCUUAUAGAACUGACAGGCUGUUACAUAGGGAAAGAACCAAACACCACAAUAUACACCCUUCAAAGCCUUCAACUUACCAGGCUCAUUUACAAUGGCUCCAACGUGUGGGUAUGGAAGAGGUGUCAGGCAGGGGCCUGCUUUGGUAUUGUGAAUUGAUUUUUUUGCACCUUCCAAUCUCCUUUAAAGAUGACCCGCUCCCACAUGCUAGUCUCUUAUAAGUCUGUUCAGACAUGUGAGGCACAUACUAAAAUGCUCCCAGGUAUGUGGACAAGGAAAUGUCAGACAUGUAGUCAGGGAAGGAAAAUGAACUACAAAACCAGAACAAUCAUAUAAAAUAAGAAACCAGCUUUGCCAUCAUUCAGGUUAAUUUUAUUGUAUAUUCUUUUGUUUUUUUAAAGGUAAGGUAUCCCCAAAGCCCAGCCCCUCUGUCAUUAACUACCUUGUGUUAUGGCUAAGUUAACAGUAUCUGGAACCAGGCUACUCUAUUCAAAUUUCAGUUUUACCACAUGAGCCUUAAAAAAUGAAUUCACUCUCUGUUUCUCAAUUUCCUCCUCAGUAAAAUGGGGAUAAUAGUACAUACUUCCUAGGGUUUCUGUGAUUUAAAAAAUAUUUAUAAAUGAGUUAAAACAGUAUCCAACUCACAGAACCUUGAUGUUCAAUAAACCAUAAUUAUUAUUCAUUUAGCUAAGGGGCAGGGUAGUCAGUUAUAUCAGACAAAACAAAGUAUUCAUAAACUUAAGAGUAAACAUCCAUGGUUUUUAAGCUUCUCUAUUUCAAUAUAUUGCCAUGUUGCUUCCUUUCCCCUUAGUUUCCAAAUUUUAAAAAAACCUGCUUGGGCCCAAAUCAUGCCUAUCAUUUACUAUCUGUGUGACGUUCAUUAAGUUACUUACCCUCUCUGUUCCUUCACUUAUAAAAAACAUAAUAGCACCUUCAUGAUAAGGUCAUUAUGAGGAUUGAAAAGAUUCAUUCACAUAAUAUCCUUAAAACAGUGCCUUCUAUAAUAGAAAGACUGGAUGGAACUUUAAUCUUCCCAACAAGACCAGCUCCAAGUACUUUUAUUAUCAGCCUCAUUUUGUAGAUAAGGAAACUGAGGCUCAGCAAGGCUAAGUGACUUAUUCAUGGAUAGCAUAUUAGUCCGUUCUUCCACUGCUAUAAAGAAAUAUCUGAGCCUGGGUAAUUUAUACAAAAAGGAGAUUUAAUUGGCUCACAGUUCCACAGGCUGUACAGGAAGCAUGAUGCUGGCCAUCUGCUCGGCUUUUGAGGAGGCCUCAGGAAACUUACAAUCAUGGUAGAAGGGGAAGGUGGAGUGAGCACUUCACAUGGCCAGAGCAGGAGGAAGAGAGGAAGAGGGAGGAGGUGCUACACACUUUCAAACAACCAGAUCUCAUGAGACCUCUGUCAUGAGAAGAGCUCUAGGAGGACGGUGCUAAACCAUUAGAAACUGCACCCAUUAUCAAAUCACCUCCCGCCAGGCCCCACUUCCAGCAUUGGGGAUUACAUUUCGACAUGAGAUUUGGGUGGGGACACAGAUCCAAACCAUAUGAGCUAGUAAAUGAAAGAAGGACACAAGGUUCUAAUCCAGGCCAUGUGAUCCCCAGGACCAUACUCUUUCCCACUCCACUCCACUGACUGGCGUCAGGCUUCUCUUCACGAAUUUCUCUCAGCUCCCCAGUUUGAUUCUGAGCUAAUUGAGGGGAACAACUGUGUCUUAUUUAUCUCUAUAGUUCCAGUGUACCUAGUAGCAUAGUGUUUGGCAAGGAAUAGGUAUCAUAAAUAUCUAUUUAAUAAGAAUCAGCUUCCAACUUAAUUCACAAUUUCACCUUGGAAAUCAAACAGAAACAAACAUGAAUCAUGUUUAUGGAUGAAAUUAGGCAAAGUAGUGUGGCUUGAUCAUCAAUUUCAUUAGUCAUCAGUGGCAGGGUGAUGUGUGCAUAUUCUGGAAUCUGAGAUAAGCUUCUUUUUGUCUUUCUGUCUUUCUUUCAUCAUUCAUUCACUCAACAAACUAUAAUAGUGGUAAAAGUAUGCAUAGCAAGUUGUGGGAGCAUAUAGAAAAGAAUUGAAUGGGUAAGGUGUGGUGGGUAGGGGGUGUGUUGAGGAAGGUUUCUCAGAGAAGGUGUCAUAGUCCCAUUUAGCAGCCACUGCAGAACCAUUUCAAUAAGUGGAUGCAUAACAAAUGGCAGUAAUAAUACCAUUACCUAAAUAAAUAAUGGAAAUAGAAUACAGUUGGCAGGGAUCACUUGAUUUUAGAAUUCUUAGUGAAAGCAUGUUAGAGAAAGGAUCUUUAGGCCUAAGGGCAUGGGAUUUGCCAGAGCUGAAAGUAUAGAUACUUAGUAAGUAGUAAUAGAUGGGGGAAUUAAAAAAGAGUUUAUUUAUUCUUUAUCCCCAGACAUUGCAUGCUUGCUAAGUGCUAGAUGUUUUCUGUGUGUUAUUUCAUUUAAUUCCCAAAGGAAUCAUGUGAGUAUUUCCUUCCAUCUUAUGGUAAUAAUAUUAAAGACAGGAAGGUGAAGUGACUUACAAAUGGUGAAGAUAAUUUCGACUUUAGUUUCAGUGCUCUUUCCAUGAAUACAAGUAGCAAACCCUUACAUAGAGAUUAUUAUGUGUCAAGCAUGUUUCUUUGGGUAUUACAUUUAUUAAGUUGUUUAAUCUUCUUAACACCUCCAAUGAGGUAGAGUCUACAAUUAUAUUAUUUUACAGAUAAUGAAACUGAGACACAAGAAAAUUGAGUAAUUUGCCCUAAAUCACACCACAAAGAAAAUGAUGGAGCCAGAAUUCAGACACGAGUCAUCUGUCUCUUAAAUCAUUUACACUAGGCUGCAUCCGGUAUGUUAGGCCCAGUUAGCUAGGAGACUGCCUUCCUACUUCUACCUGGCCAUUAACACAAACUGUUCCUGCAAUGGUGACUGCCUGGGGUUGGUGGGAUAGAGAGUAGGAAAUGAGAUCUGGGGUCAGCAGAAGAAAUCAGCAUUUCUUACUGCCUCUUUUCUUUCCCUGAUUUAUUUCAAGGUGAGAGAGGUAGAUGUGUGGCAGCGUAGGGGUAUAGAAGCCACAAACUAUUUCCUCAUCCCUGUCUCUGAGUAUAACAAGAGCACUGUCAAUCUUUUUGGAGAUAUCCCAUUACUAACUCCCAAUCCUAUCCUAGAGAAAUGCACAAUUAUCUGUGCUAGAGCCUUAAAUUUCUCUUCAAUUUGCCCUAUUUACUACCUGGGAUGAGUAUCAUGCCAAAGAGGGAAGCCAGAGAGAGUUAACUAGUGAUAAGGGUGUCCCCUUUAAGGAUCAUGGUUAGGUAUCUGUCUUUAACACUAUUAUUAAUAAUCUCAGGAUAUAAUUAUGAUUUUCAGGAACCACAGUUAAGCUGCAGCAGCACACAGGGAUAAUCACACAAAAGGAGGCCUCUCCUAUCUCCAUUGCCAGAAUGGAAAGAAUUGGCAAACUGGUAGCCAUCUCCAGCUUUCCUGGGUGGGUGUGGUUUAAGGAUGCUCUCAAUGUGGUGGGGACAGAAAAGGGUUAGAAUAGGGAUGUUGAGCCUCAGAGAGGAAUAGUCUCAGACUGGGAAACCGGGAGUCUGACUAGGCUAACCACCAUCAGCAAGGACUUCUGGGUAGAGAAGUCUGAACUUGUUUAGAUCCCUGCUUUCUCUUGGUUAAGAAGUAAAGCACAGUCUAGGGGAGGAGAGGCAUGGAACUUUCUAUUUCUGGGCCGCAGGGACCCAACUUAAGGAAUGAAAGAAUAUUCUGGAGGCCCCAUGAGAAUUAUCUAUCCUUCCAGCAACAGACCUUUGAUUUGUCCUAGUAUUAGUUGUCAAAAUCAAGAUCUCCUCUUAUCCUACCCCUUUACUACUCAACUUACCUUUCAUUUCUGUUGCCUUGUUUUUUUUGACAAAGUAGCUGGCUAUCUGUCGUCAACAUUUGUAAUGUCAUUUGAGUGAAUGUGUUUCAGUAACACUUGUUGGUUGGUUUUCAUGGACAGACAAAUAGAGCAGACAGGAGCCUUUAUCAUGGCUCUGGUCCAGACUGUAUUUCCUAAAGGCACUUCUGUCUGACAUGCCAGUACCUCACUGACAUACCACUCAAUGACAUUCAACUCAUCUCAGGUCCCUCCACAUAGUUGGAAUUGAGCUUAUCAUGCCACAGCCCCCACUGAGGUGGCUAGGAUACUCCUGCUUACAGAAAGGCAUACAUCAAUUGAAAUGGGCAACCCUUAAUCCUAUCAUGAUUAAGAAAUGAAGCAUACACAUGAUCCCUCCAAAAUUUUCCAGUUUGCAAGUCAAUACAGACAGUGGUUUGUAUCAAGGCAGAGAAGUAUCAUUCUAAGUGUUUUCUGCAGUUUGACUUUAUUGUAUCUUUAAUUAAAUCAAUGUGGUUGCACCUACUCCCAAUGGAAGUGGUAAAGGACAGUUAGCUCAGAGGAUUUCUGAGGGAAUAAAGGGCUUCUUCAACCUGUAGGCAGAGAAAAGUGCUGGCUGAAACCAAGCCUGCAGCAACUGUUGUGGGAAAUGAAAAAGGGAGAAGGAAGGGGUAAGGAAGGGAGAUAAGAGGUACAUAUGGAGAGGUAAAGGGAGUGGAAUACUGGAUAGCCAAGGCCAGAGAGAAAAUGAAGGAUGCAGCAGCAACUGAUCAAGCCCCAUAUCACAGAACUGAGAUAUCUGGAAAGGUUUUUUUUCCCCUCUGGGAAAUAACUAGGACUGUGAGCAUAUUAAGAUCUUCAUUGAAAUAAUAAAUAUCAGCAGGGAUGUGAAUAAGAGGAAACCCUCAUGCACUCUUGGUGGGAAUGUGGAUUGGUAUAGCCAUUAUGGAAAAACAGUAUGGAGGUUCCUCAAAAAAUUAAAAAUAGAAAUCCCAUAUGAUCCAGCAUUCCCACUUCUGGGUGUUCAUUCAAAAGAAUUGAAAUCAGUAGCUCAAAGAGAUGUCUGUACUCCCAUAUUCAUUGCAGCAUUAUUCACAAUAGCCAAGAUAUGGAAACAACCUACAUGUCCAUCAGUGGAUGAAUGAAUAAACAAAAUGUGUUAUAUGUACACAAUGGAAUACUAUUCAGACACAAAAAAGGAGAUCCUUCCAUUUGCCACAACAGGGAUGGACCUGGAUAACAUUAUGCUAAGUGAAGUAAAGUAGACACGGAAAGAGAAAUAUUGCAUGAUCUCACUUAUAUGCAGAAUCUUUUUAAAAGAGCUCAAAUACACAGAGGUAGAGAAUGAAAUAGUGGUUACUAUGGGCAAGUGUUGGGGGGAAAAGGAAAUGGAGAGAUGUAGGUAAGAGGUUACAAAGUAGCAGAUAUGAAGGAUGAACAAGUCUAGAGAUCUAACCUAUAACAUGAAGACUAAAGUUAAUAAAAUUGUAUUCUAUUAGGAACUUUUGUUAAACAACUAGAUUUUAGCUGCCCUAGUCACAAAAAGUAACUAUAUAUGAUGGUAGAUCUGUUAGUUGGUUUCAAUAUGGUAACCAUUUUACUAUCUAUAUAUAUCCCAUAACAUCAUGUUGUAAACCUCAAAUAUACACAAUAAAAAUUAUUUUAAAAUACAAAUAAAAAAGAACCUCAUUGAGCAGCUCUGUGACUAUAGCUGCUAGAGCUAUGGAGUAGGGAGGGCAAAAGACACAAUCCUGGAUGUUAGAAUGACUUGAAGGGGUCUGGGAUGGAGAGGGAUUGAGAAUAAAGGGGGGAAAUGCAACAAUUUCUAAGAGAAUAGGGAAAAACAUUGAAGGUAGGAUUCAGAUGUUGACAUUCUUUUUGUUGUUCAGUGUCAGAGUCUCACAGGGGAAGAAAGAAUUGCACAGUUCUCAAGGUGAAAGGAAGACACGUGCAGAAUCACUGAGGGGAAGAGAAAACAUCAGUAAACGAUUCAAAUGAUGAUUUGUUGUCAGGAUUAGAUACCCAGUGAUAUAAGUAAAUAUUCGCAUGGAGACUGUGUGGUGGGAACAUUAAUAAUUCAUACAUUGGGAUGCUUCCCAGGGAUCUAUUUGCUAUGAUUCCAAUCUGAGCCUUGACAGAAUUUGAUAUAAGUUGGAGGCUCCAGGGACAGCAGCAUAUUGUAUGGUGUUAGAAAUAAGCCUACAAAGGAGAGAAUCAGAUAAAUUUCAGAACUAAAGAAUCACCUAAUUGAACUAUCUCCUUGACAGAUAAAGACACCAUGGCUCAGAAAGAAGAGACAUUUGUCCAGUAAAUUACUAUGGGACCUGGGCUUUUAGGCCAUGACCACACGCUCAUCCCCAAACAAUUGUUUGCUGGUGCCAUCUGUGUGGGUCCAGGACUGAGGAGAAUUGGGACAAAGAGACACCCAAGCCAAAUGCAAUCUCCCAUCCCCAUAUCCAGGAAUCCGGAAGUGGAGAGAUCCUGAAAUGAGUGAUAAACAAAAGGGAGAAAUGCCUGUAAGAAAGGCUGGGCCAUCAGAGCAAGAUAAAAAUGGGCUCUUCAACUCUUUAUCUGAAUUAAAUGGAAACAGUAUCAAAUCACAUGCAGUCAAAAUAAUGCUCUAGCAUUAUUUAUAAAUCAAAAAGUACUUUUUGAGAUACUUCUAUGUAUUCCAUACUAUGUGAGGCUAUGAGAAAUAUAAAUAAGGCAUGAUAAUUUGCUCCCUCAAAGGAUAUCUCUGUGUCAGUGGGGAAAAAUAGCUCCAGCACAAGUGAUCCCCUUUGUAUGUUCAUGGUUGCAAAACAAUGUCUUAAACCACUUGGGUUACAAAUUUGGAUCACACAUUCAUUCAACAUAUAUAUUUACAGGGUACCUGCUCUGUGUCUGGCAUUGUACAAGAUACUGGGGAUACAACUGUAACCAAGACACAGUCCCUGGUUUUGUCGCAUUCACAGUCUGGUGAGAGACGCAGACAAGUAAACACACAAUUACAGACAUAAGGGAUAAGGGUGAUCAUGGACUGAUCCAUAGAAUACUACUAUAGGAACAUAGAGAAGGGGACACUUUUAUGCCUUCAGUGGGCUGAAAAGGCUCCUGAAAGGAGAUGAUGGUCAACCUAGGGACUGAAGGACAAGUAGGCAAAAAAGAGAGUGAUGAAGGGGAAGGAAGGAUAUUCCUAGCAAAGUGAAUAACAUGUGCAAAGUUUCAAAGACAAGAAAGAAAAAUAUGGAAGUUAUUCAAGAUCAAUUAAGUGCUAAAUUGUGGGUUUGCAAGCAUUAAGUAUAUCACAAGGUCAGAAGCAGGGGGAAGCUAAAAGUUUUUUGUGGAGGAGCAUUGCAAUUUUGACUUUCAAGAAAAUGGAAAAAGAAUGAUUCUGAAAACUAUUGACCAUAGUGUUUGCUGUUAAUCCAGGUCCAUAUUUCCAAAUGUAUUGUUAAUGGACUGGUUUAAAAACAGAUUAUUUUUGCAAAGAAAUAAAACAAAGCAGAGCUCACCAAGUGUUAACCGUGACAGGCUAACUUCAUUUUCUCUAUUUAUGGGCUUACCAACUUAGGGAAAACCUAUAAGCAGAGCAUAUCUGAGUGCCAGGCAGGUCUUUUCUGCUGUCUUUCUCAACAACUGGAGAAAUGAGGCUGGAUGAAAGUAGAAUUUGAUGGAUUCCCAACAGGAUGAAUGCCCAUACCCAAACAUGCAAAUGACAGGAUAUCAAAUAUGAUGGAAAACAGAAUAAGGAGCCACAGAGACUUUUUUCUCAACCAGGCCAUAAAUGCUCUAUAAUUUAUUAUCCAAGCUGGAACCUUUUGAGAAUAACAGGGGGCAUUUUUAACAAUUAUGUCAGAAAAACAAGCAUAAACUAGAACUGUCCCCAGGUAGACCUGGCUCUACAGUCCCCAAUCUAUAAUUAUUUGUUGAAUGAAUGAAGUAACAAGUGCACCAAUGGAUCUCAUCUAAGAACUCCACUCCUCCUUACAGCUGUGUAUGACUAGAGGAAAAUCACACAAGUACGUGUAUAACUACUGAUGGCAGUGGCUGCCGCCAUCACGCCAGCUGCGCAGCUGGGGCUGCACACUCCCUGGAGCUGGCGGGAGCCCCCCCCCUUCUGAGUUGGGACCGGAGCUACCUGGGUGCCCGCUGCAGCUGCCCAAUGCAGCUGUAGACCCCAGCCUCCUGCUCUACAGAAUGGGCAGGAGCCCUGACCUCCUGGUGGGGCUACAGCCUUCCAAACUGCAGCAGUGGAUCUCAGCCUCCAUGUGCUCUUGGGGGAGCCACGAACAGGCAGGAUCUGCCUUCCGGGGUGCAGUUGCAGUGGCUGGACCUGCGGCUGCAAACCUGGGCCUCCCGCUCCAUGAGCCAGGCAGGAGCCGGGGACAAGCCGGAGCCCUGCCUCUUCUGAGUUGGUGGGGUGGGAGCUCCCAGGCGCAGCUGCAGCUUUCCUCACAGGAACUGGGUCUCUCUGCAGCCUGCACCCUUGGGGGCCCCAGGAUGAACUCUCUCCCCACCCCACCCCCAUUUCUGCAGGCUCAGGGUUGUCUGCCUGGUCUCUCUCUACUCUCAGCACCUGCUCCAAUCUCAGAGCGGGGUUGGGGCUGAGCCCCAGGGCAAUGAAUGGCAGUGAGAGGCAAACAGAGUCCUGGGUGGAAAGGAGUGGCGUCCACAGUAAGGCUCCACCCUCAGACCAGGGAGGGCCUGAAGGCUGGGGACUGGGCUGCCAGUCUCGCUGACUGGAGUAGGGGCUCAUGGUGCCUCUUCCCGGCCCACCCAUGGCCACCCAUGGAUCAAUCAGCUGAGCCCUGGGCUCAGCCAGAACAGGGCAGAGGACAGCCAGAGGAUGAAUAGGGCAGAGAGACACUGGGAUGACCAGAUGCAGAGAGGAGUACCCUCUCUGCUGAUCUCUGGAGAGGUGGGACAACCAGCUGCAGAGAGGAGUACCCUCUCCACUGAGAGCUUCAGAGAUGACCUGCUGGCAGAGAGGAGCUACUGUCUCUGCUGAGAGCUUCAGAGAUUUGCAGAGAUGUCCGAACGACUUGCCUGCAGAGAGGAGCCACCCUCUCCAGGGUCUCCUAUCUGCUGAGAGCUGAACACUCAACAGGACGACCUGUCUACAGAGAGGAGCUACCCACUCCUCUGAGCUGUUCUAACACUAAAUAAAACUCUUCGUCUUCUUCUUAUUCUUCACACUUCACUUGUCUGCAUACCUCAUUCAUCCUGGAUGCAGAACAAGAACUCAGGCAAAGGCGCGUCUACCACAGCCCUUGUGGGAUCCAGACCUGUGCUCUUGAUCCCACAUCUUCUGCUUCCUCCAGAACCUUGCUUCCUUGUCUUUUCUCUCUUCUGUAUCUUCAACAUCUCCCUAUGCACUGAAAUAGCUCUUUCAAAGGACUCUAAUGACCACUUGGGCACAAAGUCAUUUUCUUCAAAAUUUGCUUAACUUUUUACUUUGAAAUAAUUACUGCUUCACAGGAAAUUGCAAAGAUAGUAGAGAGAGGUUCCAUGUACCCUUCACCCAGUUUCCCACAAGGAUAACAUCUUACACAAUUAUAAUACAAUAUCAAGACAGGAAAUUGGCAUUGGUACAGUGUAUGUAGAUAGUUUUAUGUCACUUUAACAUAUGUUUUGAUUCCUGCAACAACCACUGCAAUCAAGAUACUGAACUGUACCAUCACCAUAAAGAACUUCCUCACGCAACCCUUGUAUAAUCUCACUCACCUCCAUUAACCCCAUUAUUCUUAACUCCUUGUAAUCACUAAACUGUUUUCCAUCUCUAUUAUUUUGUGAUUUUGAGAAUGUGAUGUAAAUGGAAUCAUACAGUAUGUGACCUUUUGAGAAUGGCUUUUUUUUACUCAGCAUGAUCCCUUUGAGAUUCAUCCAAGUUGUUAUAUAUAUCAAUAGAUUAGUCAUUUUCAUUGCUGAAUAGUAUUCCAUAAUAUGAAUAUAUGAUGAUUUGCCCAUUCAUCUGCUUUAGGACAUUUUGGUUGUUUUCAGUUUGAGGAUUUCAAAAAGAUUGUUUUAACUAUUCUAGGACCUGUGCCUUUCAUACAAAUGUUGUAAUAAAUUUCUCUAUGUCAACAAUCUUGCUGGGAUUUUGAUAGGGAUUACGUUAAACCUAUCUAACACUUUAAGGAUAAUGUCAUCUUUACUAUGUUAAAUCUUCCAAUCCAUGAACACAGUAUGUCCCUCAAUUUAUAUAUUUUUCCAACAUAUGGUUCUUGCACAUAUUUUGUUAGAAUUACACCUGUGUGCUUAAUUUUCUUUUUUUGAGUGAUUGUAAUGGUAUUUUACUUUGUUUCAUUUUAUUUGCAACUGUUAUUGCUGUCCAGGCAAAUAUUUUAUUUAAAAAUGAACAGAAAAUGGCUGUCAAUAUUCAUACAAAGGUACUGUGGACAAAAUCAGAAAAUUAAAAUAAAAAAAUUUCAGUGAUAAAAAUUUCUUUCCAAAUAAAGCACAAGGCAAAAUAAAAUUGUGAGACAUCACAAAAUAGUAAAAGGUAUUGUAUUUUAAAUUUCAAUUUUUAUGUGUUUUUGCUGUUACAUAGAAAUAAAAUUUAUUUUUGUAGUUGAUAUCAUAUCCUGUGAUGUUGCUAAUUUCACUCAUUAGUUCUAGGAGUUUUUGUACCUUCCUGGGAUUUUUUUAUGUAAACUAUCAUGUCCUCUGCAAAUUGAAACAGUUUUUUUUUUCCAAUUGUUUUUGUCCUGUCCUAUCUGUAUGCCUUUUAUUUCCUCCUUAUUGAACUGUCUAGAACUUCCAGCACUGUGUUGAAUAGCAGCGGCAGAAAUGGAUAUCCUUGCCUUCUUUCAGUCUUUCACCAUUAAAUAUGAUGUUAGCUGCAGGUUUUUUGUAUAUGUUCUUUAUCAACUUAAGGAUGUCUUCUGCUAUUCUCAAUUUGCUGAGAGUUGUUAUCAAAAAUGGGUGUUGAAUUUUGUCAAAUGCUUUUCUGCAUCAAUUGAUAUGAUCGUGUGAUUUUUAUUCUUUGGCCUCUUAAUGUGGUGGAUGGCAUUGAUUAAUUUUCAGAUAUUUAAGCAGCCUUUCAUCCUUAGGAAAAAAAACCCAUUUGUUUCUCUGUUAUUGAUUUCUACUUUGGUUCUGUGCAGCCAUAGAACACACUCUGUAUGAUUUCACUUUAUUUAAAUUUGUUGAGGUUUGUUUUAUGACCUGGGAUGUGUGUUAUCUUGGUAUAUGUUGUUUAAGCAGUUGAAAAUAAUGUGUAUUUUCACCAUAGAAUACUAUGCAGACAUAUAAAAUAAUGAAAUCAUGUUCUUUGCAGCAACAUGGAUACAGCUGGAGGCCAUUAUCCUAAGCAAACUAAUGUAGGAGAAACAGAAAACCAAAUACUGCAUGUUCUCGCUUAUGAAGUAGGAGCUAAACAUUGAAUAUACAUGGACACAAAGAUGAGAACAAUAGACACUGGGGACUGCUUGAGAGGGGAGAGUUGGAGGGGGCAUGGGUUGGAAGUUACUAUGCUCAUUACCUGAGUGAUGGGAUCAUCUGUACACCAAACCUCAGUGACAAGCAAUUUACCCAUGUAACAAACCUGAACAUGUACCCUUAGAACCUAAAAUUAAAGUUGGAGAAGAAAAACAUAAAAAUAAAAAUUAC